AUGCCCCUUACACACCACCUCCUCCAUCACUUCUCUCCCUCUCUCCUCCUCCAUCACUUCUCUCCCUCUCUCUCCUCCUCCAUCACUUCUCUCCCUCUCUCUCCUCCUCCAUCACUUCUCUCCCUCUCUCUCCUCCUCCAUCACUUCUCUCCCUCUCUCUCCUCCUCCAUCACUUCUCUCCCUCUCUCUCCUCCUCCAUCACUUCUCUCCCUCUCUCUCCUCCUCCAUCACUUCUCUCCCUCUCUCUCCUCCUCCAUCACUUCUCUCCCUCUCUCUCUCUCCUCCUCCAUCACUUCUCUCCCUCUCUCUCUCUCCUCCUCCAUCACUUCUCUCUCUCUCUCUCUCCUCCUCCAUCACUUCUCUCCCUCUCUCUCUCUCCUCCAUCACUUCUCUCUCUCUCUCCUCCAUCACUUCUCUCCCUCUCUCUCUCUCCUCCAUCACUUCUCUCUCUCUCUCCUCCAUCACUUCUCUCCCUCUCUCUCUCUCCUCCAUCACUUCUCUCCCUCUCUCUCUCUCCUCCAUCACUUCUCUCCCUCUCUCUCUCUCUCCUCCAUCACUUCUCUCCCUCUCUCUCUCUCUCCUCCAUCACUUCUCUCUCUCUCUCUCUCUCCUCCAUCACUUCUCUCCCUCUCUCUCUCUCUCCUCCAUCACUUCUCUCCCUCUCUCUCUCUCCUCCAUCACUUCUCUCCCUCUCUCUCUCUCUCCUCCAUCACUUCUCUCCCUCUCUCUCUCUCCUCCAUCACUUCUCUCCCUCUCUCUCUCUCCUCCAUCACUUCUCUCCCUCUCUCUCUCUCCUCCAUCACUUCUCUCCCUCUCUCUCUCUCUCCUCCAUCACUUCUCUCCCUCUCUCUCUCUCUCUCCUCCAUCACUUCUCUCCCUCUCUCUCUCUCUCUCCUCCAUCACUUCUCCUCUCUCUCUCUCUCUCCAUCCUCUCUCCUCUCUCUCCUCCUCCAUCACUUCUCUCCUUCUCUCUCUCUCUCUCCUCCAUCACUUCUCUCCCUCUCUCUCUCUCUCUCCUCCUCCAUGCUGAACCAGAUGCUCCUCCCAGCCAGACAGUUCUCCUCCAGAGUUGCUGUCCUGAUAAAAACCAUCAGCUUGUUUCUCUUUCCUGUUGUUUUUUUUACUUUAUUUACUUGA
rnacentral:lncRNA from 1 species